AAACAGAAAGAUGAAUGAAUGUUUAAAAAAAUAAAAAGAUAUCAAAAUAAAUCAAACCCAAAAAACCACAACACUUAAUAUUUAACAAAAAAUCGAAAAGAAAAAGAACAGAGAUCCAAUGAAACAAGAACAGAGAAAUCAGUUUUGGAAAGAAAAAAAUCAGAAGAGAGGAGAGAAGAAGAGAGAAGAGAGAUGAGAGAGGAGAGGAGAGACAAUAGAGACGACGACGUGAAGCGGUUGAGGGAGACGAUGCGAGAGAGACGAUUUGAAGAGAGAGAUGACGCGAGGGAGACGACCUGAAGAGGGAGAGUUCACGUUUGGCAAGAGGCAGCCGACGAAGAGAGUCUUCGAAACCCAUGUCUCGACGUGGCAUAUGCUGGAUUCAUAUCCUAAACAAAAAUUUAAGUCCAAGUUAGUGUGUGAUGCAAUUAAGCCCACCAAACAACAGACUGGAUUCAUAUCCAUUUUAAUUGAAAAAGUCUCAUCCAAUUCAGCCCACCAAACAGACCCAAAGGUCUAUUUGGUAUUGGGUUUGAAUCCAAUUUCUUAAACUCAAAACAGAUUUUAAGUCAAAGUCCCAAAACACAAGUUUGGUAAGUCAGUCAGGCAGGCCCCCUUGGGUAAGGAAUUGAAAAAAAUACUGAUUAAGUGCAAAUAAUGUUCCAAUAACUGUUGUAAACUUGUAACCAUCUAUGUUAAGACAUAUACACAUACUUCAGACUCCCAAAUCAUGAUGUCACAGACUUCAAACACCCAA
rnacentral:lncRNA from 1 species